CUUCUUUGAGGCUCUGGGCCAGCACACCCCACGUUUCAUCCAACUGUUCAAGUCAAAAAAAGGAUCGGUGGGACAGAAACUGCAGAGCAUCAACUGGCCGACACCGGACGUGACUGAACAGCGCUCUGUUGUCCUCAAAGGCAUUCCGAUUGUUCUUGGCGACGACUCCAAGGAUUUCUUCAAGACAUGCUUUGAUACAACGAGAGAUGAGGCCCUAUCAUCCGUCACUGUUGGUGUGCUGACUGUUCUCAGCGAAGACAGUCCUCAGGAG